UACGUAGGGGGCAAGCGUUGUCCGGAAUCAUUGGGCGUAAAGCGCGCGUAGGUGGCCCAGUAAGUCCGCUCUGAAAGUCAAAGGCUCAACCUUUGAAAGCGGGUGGAUACUGCUGGGCUAGAGUCCGGAAGAGGCGAGUGGAAUUCCUGGUGUAGCGGUGGAAUGCGCAGAUAUCAGGAGGAACACCAACGGCGAAGGCAGCUCGCUGGGACGGUACUGACACUAAGGCGCGAAAGCGUGGGAGCGAACAGG
rnacentral:rRNA from 1 species